UAGCCGUUUUUAUUGGGUCUAAAGGGUCCGUAGCCGGCUGAUAAGUCCUUUGGGAAAUCUGGCAGCUUAACUGUCAGGCUUCUAAGGGAUACUGUCAGGCUUGGGACCGGAAGAGGUAAGGGGUACUCCAGGGGUAGGAGUGAAAUCUUGUAAUCCCUGGGGGACCAUCUGUGGCGAAGGCGCCUUACCAGAACGGGUCCGACGGUGAGGGACGAAAGCUAGGGGAGCAAACCGGAUUAGAUACCCGGGUAGUCCUAGCUGUAAACGAUGCUCGCUAGGUGUCAGACACGGUGCGACCGUGUUUGGUGCCGCAGGGAAGCCGUUAAGCGAGCCACCUGGGAAGUACGGUCGCAAGGCUGAAACUUAAAGGAAUUGGCGGGGGAGCACUACAACGGGUGGAGCCUGCGGUUUAAUUGGAUUCAACGCCGGAAAACUCACCGGGUGCGACAGCAAUAUGUAGGUCAGGCUGAAGGUCUUACCUGAAUCGCUGAGAGGAGGUGCAUGGCCGUCGUCAGUUCGUACUGUGAAGCAUCCUGUUAAGUCAGGCAACGAGCGAGACCCGCGCCCACAGUUGCCAGCAUGUUCUCCGGAACGAUGGGUACACUGUGGGGACCGCCGCUGCUAAAGCGGAGGAAGGAACGGGCUACGGUAGGUCAGUAUGCCCCGAAUCUCCCGGGCUACACGCGGGCUACAAUGGUUGGGACAAUGGGCACCUACCCUGAAAAGGGACGGUAAUCUCCUAAACCCAACCGUAGUUCGGAUUGAGGGCUGUAACUCGCCCUCAUGAAGCUGGAA
rnacentral:rRNA from 1 species